rnacentral:rRNA from 1 species
UGCAGUCGAACGCUUCUUUUUCCACCGGAGCUUGCUCCACCGGAAAAAGAGGAGUGGCGAACGGGUGAGUAACACGUGGGUAACCUGCCCAUCAGAAGGGGAUAACACUUGGAAACAGGUGCUAAUACCGUAUAACAAUCAAAACCGCAUGGUUUUGAUUUGAAAGGCGCUUUCGGGUGUCGCUGAUGGAUGGACCCGCGGUGCAUUAGCUAGUUGGUGAGGUAACGGCUCACCAAGGCCACGAUGCAUAGCCGACCUGAGAGGGUGAUCGGCCACAUUGGGACUGAGACACGGCCCAAACUCCUACGGGAGGCAGCAGUAGGGAAUCUUCGGCAAUGGACGAAAGUCUGACCGAGCAACGCCGCGUGAGUGAAGAAGGUUUUCGGAUCGUAAAACUCUGUUGUUAGAGAAGAACAAGGAUGAGAGUAACUGUUCAUCCCUUGACGGUAUCUAACCAAAAGCCACGGCUAACUACGUGCCAGCAGCCCGGUAAU